UACAGAGGUCUCAAGCGUUGUUCGGAUUCAUUGGGCGUAAAGGGUGCGUAGGUGGCGUGGUAAGUCGGGUGUGAAAUUUCGGAGCUUAACUCCGAAACUGCAUUCGAUACUGCUGUGCUCGAGGACUGGAGAGGAGACUGGAAUUUACGGUGUAGCAGUGAAAUGCGUAGAGAUCGUAAGGAAGACCAGUGGCGAAGGCGGGUCUCUGGACAGUUCCUGACACUGAGGCACGAAGGCCAGGGGGGCAAACGGG
rnacentral:rRNA from 1 species